GUCAGAAAUCUCAGGUGAUGGCGCACCGGCGGGGACAUUUUCAAUCCUGUCCAAGACUUUUCAAGUAUUGCACUUGUCCCGGCCAGCGCGACACUAAGCACU
rnacentral:pre_miRNA from 1 species